rnacentral:lncRNA from 1 species
UCUGAAGCCAGUUUUUUGUUGUUGUUGAGUAUACGGGAUUGUCAGGCAGAUCUGGCUGUGGAAAGGAGACUGUGGGCAGCAAGUUUAGAGGCGUGACUGAAAGUGGUGCUGUGACCUUAGCUGCUGAAUCAGCUUUCUGGUUACUAUGGGCAACGGCCUUGUUUUCUUUUUGAUGUCCUUUGCAGUGGAUCACAGCUACCUGCUGAGGAGAAGAGCCCGGUAACUCAGUUGGAAAUGCAGAAAUCACCCGUCUUCUGUGUCACUCACACUGGGAGCUCUAGACUGGAGCUGUUCCUAUUCAGCCAUCUUGGCUCCACCCCGACAAGUAUUCUUAAAGAGACACACAGAAGGGAAACAGAGAAGGCCACGUGAAGGCAAAGAUUGGAGUCACGCAGUCACAAGCCAAGGAACAUCUGGAGCCACCAGAAGAUGGAAAAGGCAAGGAAGGGAUCUUCCCUAGAUGCUUCUUAGGAAGUGUGGCUCUGCUGACACCCUAAUGGGAGCCUUCCAGUUUCCAGAACUUCAAGAAAAUAAAUUUCUGUUGCUUUAAGCCACUUGGUUUGUGGUAAUGCAUUACAGCAGUCCUAGGAAACUAAUACACUUGAUGACUCUCUUUAGCCUGACCCCACCUUUGAUGCCUACCACCAACACAAGAAGAAGCCCAGGCGGCAGCACCACUGCCAAUCCUAAAUGCCUCUGCAAUUGUCAUGGCCUCCAUUUCAUGUGUACUCCCUGUCAUAUUUAAACUAAGGGAUCUCUUGCACCUCCAUCCUCC